GCUUGUCGUCUGCUCUUUUAGAGGACACCGGCCCGUAAACCAAACGUGGGCCCGGUACUUGGGAUAAGAAGUAUUAGAUCGUUUCUUCCUACUUGGAUAACUGUGGCAAUUCUGGAGCUAAUACAUGCAGUGAGCCCGAAGCCCCUCGGGGCGACGGGUGCUUUUAUUAGACCAAGAUCAAUCGGGCUUCGGUCCGUUUUGUGUGGUGACUCUGGAUAACUUUGUGCUGAUCGCACGGCCACGAGCCGGCGACGUUUCUUUCAAGUGUCUGCCUUUUCAACUGUCGAUGGUAGGUUAUGUGCCUACCAUGGUUGUUACGGGUAACGGAGAAUCAGGGUUCGAUUCCGGAGAGGGAGCCUGAGAAACGGCUACCACAUCCAAGGAAGGCAGCAGGCGCGCAAAUUACCCAGAGGUA
rnacentral:rRNA from 1 species